GACGAACGCUGGCGGCGUGCCUAACACAUGCAAGUCGAGCGAACAGACGCUGCGCUUGUUGCUUUCACGUUUGCCGCGCACGGGAGUGACACACGUGUAAAACCUACCUAUCAGACUGGGAUAACCUGGGGAAAGCGGCGCAUAUACCGGAUAAUAUAUUGAUCCGUGUGGUUGGAUAGUGAGAGACGGCUUUGGUGUAACUAAUAGAUGCAUCCGCGCCGCAUUAGCUAGUUGGUAAGGUCAAGGCUUACCAAGGCAACGAUGCGUAGCCGACCUGAGAGACUGAUCGGCCACACUGGAGCGUAGACACGGUCCAUGCUCCUACGGGAGGCAGCAGUAGGGAAUCUUCCGCAGUGGGCGAAAGCCUGACGGAGCAACGCCGCGUGAGUGAUGAAGGUCUUCGGAUCGUAAAGCUCUGUUAUUAGGGAAGAACAAAUGUGUAAGUAACUAUGCACGUCUUGACGGUACCUAAUCAGAAAGCCACGGCUAACUACGUG
rnacentral:rRNA from 1 species